rnacentral:rRNA from 1 species
GACGAACGCUGGCGGUAUGCUUAACACAUGCAAGUCGAACGAGACGAGAUGGAAGGAUCCUUCGGGUGACGGAAAUCUUAGAAAGUGGCGAACGGGUGAGUAACGCGUGGGUAACCUGCCCUAUGGAAAGGAAUAGCCUCGGGAAACUGGGAGUAAUGCCUUAUAAUAUAGUGAAGUCGCAUGGCUUUAUUAUUAAACGCUCCGGGGCCAUAGGAUGGACCCGCGUCCCAUUAGCUAGUUGGUGAGAUAACAGCCCACCAAGGCGACGAUGGGUAACCGGUCUGAGAGGGCGAACGGUCACACUGGAACUGAGACACGGUCCAGACUCCUACGGGAGGCAGCAGUGGGGAAUAUUGCGCAAUGGGGGAAGCCCUGACGCAGCAAUACCGCGUGAGUGAAGAAGGUUUUCGGAUCGUAAAGCUCUGUUAUUGGGGAAGAAAAAAGACGGUACCCAAGAAGAAAGUCCCGGCUAACUACGUGCCAGCCGCCGCGGUAACAC